AAACCCUCUUCGUCUCAAAUUCUCUCUAGUCCCUCCAAAACCCUAGCCCUCUCCCAACGUCUUCCACCAUGUUUCAUCUGAAUCCAUAGCAUCCUCAAGCCUUGGAUGGCCUGUACUCACCUCCACAUGCUCUUGUACGCCUGCUACAAGAGGAUUUAAGGUCUGACCUUGAAGGUUUUUGCUCAGUUCAUCAUCAAUUCAAGUUUCACCGCCAUCUCCGGCAUGUCCUGGUCCUAUGUGCCUAUCUCUGGCUCACCUAGCUCAGAGCAGACCCUUUUCCAGGCCUUUCUCGCUUCUAGGGUUCUUCUGAAACCUUAGCCUUUGGAGGUUUUCCUAUAUUUCUUUAGAUCCUCUCUAGAUCUAUGCUUGUUUCAAGGUUUUCAAAAUGAUUUUCUCAAAUCUCUUUCAAAGGUUUGCUUUCAAAACUAUUCGUCUUCUCUGAUUUAGGGUUUCUUUGAUUUUUACUUGUUCUAUUUUGAUUCUAUGAGGUGUUAUUAUUGUAUUUGUCCUACUGUGACUCCUAUUUGUUCCUAUAUAGACUCCUGUGUGUUUUUUCUAUUAUUUUUCCAUCUAUUUUUCUUUUACUGUAUUUUCCCUCAGCAUGUUUCCACGGAAUAAUUAAGUUCUUUUGUGUUUUUCUGAGUUUUGCUCUUAUCUAAUUUGUAUGUCUUCGUCCCUACACUAGACUAAUGACGAAACCCCUAGAAUUUGGGGGUUUUUUAGACCACGUGUAUGCGACUUGCAUGUUCUCACCUCUGAACUAGUUUGAUUUCAAUUUCUGAAAAGUCAUCUCUGUUUUUCAUAUGAUUCUGACCUUUUGCCAAAAAAAUUUCUUCUUUCAUGUUUGAAGUGUUUGUAUGCUCUUUAUAUACUAUGAUUUUCCCACUAAAAGGGCCUUUCAAAUUUGCAAUUAGUUUGAAAUUUCUUCUGAAUACAGCUUGAUUGAUUUCUUUCCAUUUUUUGCCCACGACUCAACCUAAAUAAAACCCUUCUCUUUUCAUACUGGGUUCAUUCGUAUAAAAUCUCAGACCUUUGAUUUUACUGUUUGUUAAUUGGUCUUCUUACCUUAUUUGCACAAACUGUGUGUUUCAAAAAACUUUUCCUUAAAUAACUUUUAUGUAUUCACCCUUAUUUUUAUACUAUGCACAUGUUGUUUACCUGAUCCCCUUUCCUUAAAUAUUUUACAUCCUUUACUGAUCAAAUUGGGAUUCCUUAAUUAAAGGAAUCUCUAUUAGUUGAUUGAUCUUAAUUGAUACUCGACUAACUUUCUUUCCUUGCUUGCAUGUCUGAUUUCAAGUACAAAUACAUGCUCUUCUUUUUACUUCAUCGUCGAAUUCUAACUGAAAACCAAAAUCACAAUUCAUCUAUCUUCUUUACUACUACUAUUACUACUCUCUACUUCUCUGCAGUACUAUUGAGCUUUCUACAUCUGCACUUCCAGCUGCUCGAACUCCCAAACACUUGGGGAGUUUUUCUUAAGUCUGUUCCUAUUGUUCCUGGUUGUCUGUUUGUAGUUACUAUCCUGCUAAUAUAUAAUUUAUAACUCGUAUAUUCUUCUAUGUUUAAUAGCAUCCUUGUUCAACUUCUCUGCUUCUACACCUUUAUUUGUGUGUUUACUUAUGCUUUCCUGCAUUAUUUAACUACCUUCAAACAUGCUAUGUCUCUAAUGUUAUGUUAAUCCCUCUCCCUCUAUCCCAUUUGUGUGAGUUUUGCCCUAGGUCAUAGCAGCACUAUGGAUUGCUGUUGGUGAUCCAGAACUAUAUUUUUUUGAGUCUUUACUUGAUUGCUUUCCCAUUCCUAUUCCCUUUCCCAUCAAUGUUGAGCCCUAAUUUGGGUGUGUUGGUGUCCUGAUCAUCAUUCAGACCUAAGUUUGACUCUAUAAGGGUAUGCUCUUAUUUGUUUGAAUCUGAGCAAGAGAUUAGGGGUGUGCCAGUCUAUGUCAUGGAUGGGUAUGACCACCUCCUGCUUAGGUUCAUCUCUCACUUUACACCUACUCCUAGCUCUUAAAUUCUACCCCCUUUGGUAAGCCAUGCUUAGGGACCCUAGAGCUCCCUCUGAACUUUGAUGCCUAAGGGCUGGUAAUUCCACAC
rnacentral:lncRNA from 1 species